AAUGACAUUUCUCAUAUACAACACCUGAUAAUGUCAGCUUCACUACACUAAUGCACUCAUUGCUCUAAUAUCUCAGUCUUUCAGACAGAGAAUGCUGCCUGCCUAAAAAGCAAAGCAAUUUUUGUGCUAUUUAUCAGACUUUGUAUUUUGUUUUCCAUGGAAAAUGGAACUGUCCUUUCUAUGUCAUAGGAUAGUCCUUAUUCCAACAGCACAACCACAGAUGACAUACUCUAUAAAUCUGUGGUGAGAAAUGGACCUUGUCUGAAGGAACUUGCACUUUAAACAUGCAAAACAAGAGGCUGGAAGAAAAAACAGAGUCAGAAAAGCCAGGCAGCAGGAAAAGCUUUUCCUUAGGAAAAGAGCUGAGCCUGCAUGAAGAAAUGAGUGGGCUGACAUUUGCUCCUGCCUUGGAUCCCAGAGUACUAAGACCUGAUAAACAGCCUGAUGCAGUUCUCUGGCCUAAGUGCCACUGCAGUGGGUGAACGAGCUGUGAUGCAGCCUGCAAGGCACCGCUGGCUGACGCUGUAGCCUGGGGUUGUUUGGUAAAUACCAACAGUCUAAGAGAAGUGCA